UGGCGAACGGGUGAGUAAUAUAUCGGAACGUACCCAAGAGUGGGGGAUAACGUAGCGAAAGUUACGCUAAUACCGCAUACGAUCUACGGAUGAAAGCAGGGGAUCUUCGGACCUUGUGCUCCUGGAGCGGCCGAUAUCUGAUUAGCUAGUUGGUGAGGUAAAGGCUCACCAAGGCGACGAUCAGUAGCUGGUCUGAGAGGACGACCAGCCACACUGGAACUGAGACACGGUCCAGACUCCUACGGGAGGCAGCAGUGGGGAAUUUUGGACAAUGGGCGCAAGCCUGAUCCAGCAAUGCCGCGUGAGUGAAGAAGGCCUUCGGGUUGUAAAGCUCUUUUGUCAGGGAAGAAACGGCUGUGGCUAAUAUCCACGGCUAAUGACGGUACCUGAAGAAUAAGCACCGGCUAACUACGUGCCAGCAGCCGCGGUAAUACGUAGGGUGCAAGCGUUAAUCGGAAUUACUGGGCGUAAAGCGUGCGCAGGCGGUUUUGUAAGUCUGACGUGAAAGCCCCGGGCUCAACCUGGGAAUUGCGUUGGAGACUGCAAGGCUUGAAUCUGGCAGAGGGGGGUAGAAUUCCACGUGUAGCAGUGAAAUGCGUAGAGAUGUGGAGGAACACCGAUGGCGAAGGCAGCCCCCUGGGUCAAGAUUGACGCUCAUGCACGAAAGCGUGGGGAGCAAACAGGAUUAGAUACCCUGGUAGUCCACGCCCUAAACGAUGUCAACUGGUUGUUGGGUCUUAACUGACUCAGUAACGAAGCUAACGACCGCCUGGGGAGUACGGCCGCAAGGUUGAAAC
rnacentral:rRNA from 1 species